rnacentral:rRNA from 1 species
UAGGGAAUCUUCCACAAUGGACGCAAGUCUGAUGGAGCAACGCCGCGUGAGUGAAGAAGGUUUUCGGAUCGUAAAGCUCUGUUGUUGGUGAAGAAGGGUAGAGGCAGUAACUGGUCUUUAUUUGACGGUAAUCAGCCAGAAAGUCACGGCUAACUACGUGCCAGCAGCCGCGGUAAUACGUAGGUGGCAAGCGUUGUCCGGAUUUAUUGGGCGUAAAGCGAGCGCAGGCGGAAUGAUAAGUCUGAUGUGAAAGCCCACGGCUCAACCGUGGAACUGCAUCGGAAACUGUCAUUCUUGAGUGCAGAAGAGGAGAGUGGAACUCCAUGUGUAGCGGUGGAAUGCGUAGAUAUAUGGAAGAACACCAGUGGCGAAGGCGGCUCUCUGGUCUGCAACUGACGCUGAGGCUCGAAAGCAUGGGUAGCGAACAGGAUUAGAUACCCUGGUAGUCCAUGCCGUAAACGAUGAGCGCUAGGUGUUGGGGACUUUCCGGUUCUCAGUGCCGCAGCAAACGCAUUAAGCGCUCCGCCUGGGGAGUACGACCGCAAGGUUGAAAC